rnacentral:lncRNA from 1 species
UCCAAUAACCCCAUGCGAAUAAGCCAUUGAUUAGGGCAACAAUAUAAAAAGCGGCGAUAACAGCGAAAAUAGCAAAAUCUCAAUAGUUUAGGUAUGAGGCUGCGGUGAAAGCGGAGAGCUGUGGGGAGUUUCUAUGGGUGGUUUUUGCCCCUCUUUGUCUUUCUUCGCCGCCGAUGAUCACUCAAAUGAAAAAAAUAAAUUCCGAUUGCAAAACUAGCCUUUCGGUGAAAAUAAGUGUUACUCCGUUCACUUUUACUUUUGGGCAAUGAGGCUAUGAAGAUUAUUGUCUUCUGCGGAAGAUGAAACAGACAUAUUGCUAUUGAGCUCGAAAAAACUGUAACUUGGCGUGGCAGCUCAGAUGGGUCUGUGAGAUAUUGGAGAAAGUUCCCUUUCAGGGUGUUUUUACCUCUCAUAAGGCUAACUGAUGCUUGCAGCCAUGACGGUUUUUUCAAAGCUUUUUGGUUUUUGUCUGAGAAAAGGCGAAUCUGAGCCUACCCCAUUACUUUGAUUUUUGUUUUUGGUUUUCCCUAUGCUCCUUGAUUAUGUAGGCGAAAAUCUAAGCUCAUCCCUCGAUUUAACUUUUAGUUCCAUUUCUGAGACUGUAACUCGGAGAUGCUUUGUGGGAAUAAUUCUUAGCUUGAAGAUGGUUGAUUUUUCCAUAAUGUUAGUGGAAUAAUUUCUCCAAAAUUUAUGAGUUUUAGUAAUUGAAUGAGAAACGGCGAUGAUAGCAAAAAUCAUUGAUGGCCAAAGAUCAAAUAAGAAUGCCAAACUACCACAGAUCUUCUAUUUGUUGUGAAUUAAUCUCUUGACUAGUAUGGUAACUCAACCUUAACAGCACUGUAUUUUUAUUUGCGCCGAUUGAAACAAACUGAGUCUGAGUGUUGUCCGAUGUGGCAUUGCUAAAAAGAAGUCUUGUUAGUUACAAAUCAUGUCAAGAUCCCUUGCUGCAAGGUACUCUUGCAUUUUUGCAGACAAAAACUUGCAGGUGAUGGGUUUUUGUUCCCAUUAAGAUGAAGUACUAGUUUGAAGUGGGGCUAGAUUCUGAUGUGUAAGAAAUAUUGUAAAGAAACUACACUUAUGUUGAUGAAAACUCCAGGAACUGCGUUUGUCUUUAAGUUCCAAAUUUCCGUGAAAUCACUGUAGAUUCUAGCUACAGCAGGAACGAAAUGGAGAGAGGAGGAUUGGAAAUCAAUAAUGUUUGAUUGGGAUGAUCUAAUGUUCUUGAAAGAGCUAUUUUGCUUGGUCACAGCUAUGGACCUUGUUGAUAUGAGUCAAUAGCAUCUGCCCCAUAUCUUAGAUAUUUCUGAUAAGCAGGAUAAGUUGAUCCAGAUAUUCUCCAUUAGCUCCUUUAAGUAAUAACCACCACUACAACGACAACAUACUCAGUGCGAUCCAUAAGUGGGGUUUGGGAAGGGUGGAAUGUAGGCAACCCUAAGUAAUAAUACCUUGUUGAUAUGAGUCAAUAGCAUCUGCCCCAUAUCUUAGAUAUUUCUGAUAAGCAGGAUAAGUUGAUCCAGAUAUUCUCCAUUAGCUCCUUUAAGUAAUAACCACCACUACAACGACAACAUACUCAGUGCGAUCCAUAAGUGGGGUUUGGGAAGGGUGGAAUGUAGGCAACCCUAAGUAAUAAUGCCAAUUGAAGGUCUGUUAUUAAUGCAGAGAUGAAAGGAUAUCCCUUUAAUUAAUGCCUUUCUAGAGCUUUUGGCUAAAAUCAAGUAUCCAAGAACCACAAAUAGUAGUCUCUAGCAGGGUAAAUGGAGAUCCAGCCAAGCAUAGCUGCUCUAGUGAGUUAUGAGCUAUUGCGCUUGCAAUAAUUAUAUGUAAAAACUUCCAUUUACUUUUUAUUUGUAAUUCUAGGCAUUGAACAGGUAAAUGAAACCCUAUGUGUGUUCCUUUUUCUCUUUAAUGUGGACCUGUUUGCGAGUGUGCAUUACGAAAUUUGUCGAUAUCAGAAGGUGUACAUCUUUAUAAAACUGCCACCAACCACAACCAAAUAAAAAAUUCUCUGUUUUUUUAUUCUGGGGAUGUAAAUGCUAAGGUCUAUUUUUGAGUUACGUUAUUGCUAAAGAUGUACUUCUUAACACCUUAGGCUAUUUUUCUCCCCUUUUUUUUUGUUUUUUAAAACUCUCUGUAAUGAAUGACAAUGCUCUGCCUCUUUGAUAUGAGUGUGCCUAAAAGUGUUCGCUUUUUUACUUGAAUUUUAGGAAUGUGAGUGCUAACAUCUAUUUUUGAGUUUCCUUGUUGAUAAAUAUGCUCUUUUGAUUGAUACUUAAUCCUAUUCUCCACUCUCUUUUGAACUCUGUAAUGAAUGGGAAUGCUCUUGCUCUGAGAUUGGUGUGACUUAAUGUGUUUUUCUUUAUCUAGAAUCGUAGGCAUCAUUAUUAAAAGUGUACUUUCUGAUACUUUAGCCUUUAUUUUCUGUGUUUGAACUCUGUAUAAAGAAUCACAAUGCUGAUUCCUUGAUGUGGGUGUGCCUAAAUGUGUUUUCUUUUGUCUAGAAACUUAGGCAUGUGAAUACUGACGUCUAUAUUAAGAUACUUUGUUGCUGAGAUGUUUUAUUGGAGUAAUCCUUAUUGGUAAAGCGCAUAAUUUCAGUCAUGUUACCUGUAUUUUGAACUGUAAUUUGAUACUCAACUUUGAAAUAAUAUAAAACCACUCGAUCAACUUAUGCAGGUGCUAUCUCCGCACUUCAUGUUGUCAGAAUACAAGCCAAAAGCUAAGACAGGCGAUGCAUUUACAAGUGAGUAAGCUCAUUUUAUAAAUUAUGCAAAUUUUGUAGUUGUUGCCUGCUUUAUGAAUACCCACUAAUCUUUGAGAUCGAUUCCAUGCUAAUUUGUUUUUUGAGUCCUUGUUUCUAUUGGUAUUUUGCCGCAUUUUGUGAUUGACGUAAACAAGAUGUCAUACUUCUUGCUCUUCUCCUUCAAUUAAUUGUGUAUCCUGUGCAUAAAGGAAUUCAUCCUAAAUGAUGAGUAAUUCAAGUAAGCUAUGGAUUAACAUCCAAAUGAAGCUUUUUUGUCAUAGUUACACUGAUAGAUGAGAUUCCUUUAUAUGUGUUAUCCUAGGGUUCCUUUUUCUUGAUGAAUGAUCUCAUAGUUUGUUAUGUUGUAGAUAACAAGAAAUAUAAUACUUGAUAAAAAAAGAAGAGAGAUAAUACUUAUUAAAAAAGAGAUAUUACAUGAGCGCCGAAGGGAGUGGCAUAGUUGUCAAUGAAGUGAGUGAAAACCCUAGAGACUGGUUCAAAUCCCAACCGCAACAACAAAAAAGGCUGUUAUUUCUUCUUAUCUGUCUAUGCCUUGGUAUGUUAGAGUUAACCAAUACCUGUAUUGAUGAAAGGCAAGCAUGUAUCUAGUGGAAUUGUCGAGGUGUGCACAAUAAUGGUCCGGAUACAACCAUUAUAAAAAAGAAAUACAUGUCUUUUCUAAACUGCUUUUUGCUGAUCCUUGGAUGUUACAGAAGCAUUUUACCUCCCAAAAUUUUCCAGUAAGUUUUCGUGCACCUCUUACUAGAGCGGUUUUCAAAAAUCCGGUUAAGCAACAUAUACAUCGCUUUUGCUGCUUUGAAAGGGUGUUUAACAUUAUUUAAACGGAAAAGGGCCAACAUUGCCCCUAGACACUGUUAAAUUGAACAAUUUUGCCCUCCUUUAAAAAAGUUUCUCGUUCCUAUUCCUGCCGUUAACAAAGUGGCUCGAUUUUGCUCUUAUGGGCUAACAACAACAAUUAAAGGACAAAUUUAGACCAUUCACAAAGUCCAUUCUGGCACUACUUAGCAAAGAGGGAUAAGUUAGAAUAGGAAAAUCACAACAACUGUUAUUAUUCUGGAGAAUGAUUUGCAAGGCUUCAUAUCUUUCACCUCAUAACUCCCUGUAAAUUUUGUAAUGCAUAACUUCUCAUCCUUCUCAAUUACCUCAAAUCGAAUUCUGUAAAAAUUAAACCCAAGGUCAACAUAUCCACCUUCAAUCAGCACAGAUUGCUUGUAUAUUUUCUCAUUAUCCACUAUGUUGAAUCUCUCGAAAUAUGGUAUUCCUGGUGUACCUGUUUUAAUAAAAGUUAAACACGAUGCAUGUAGAAAAUACAUAUCAGAUGUUGAUCAAUAAUUUGUUGUAAUACUUUAGAUGAACAUCCUUAUGGUCAACUUUGGUCUCUGUGUGGGUGUAUAUAGUAUAGUUGAAUGUGACAUGCACUGUCUUGACUUCUUAUCUCUUUGGAGAUUCAUUCAAAAAGAAAUCUACAGUACCUUUCUUUAUAGUAUGAUCUUUCUGUGUCCAUGUCUUUGGCUAUGUAAUAUCCAGGUUGUUUUGGCUUAUCCACCUUAGUAAAUAGUCAUUCUUUGGUGAUAAUGAUGAUGAUUCUUCAGAGCAAAUGGUAUUAGGAAUUGAUAUGGCAAGAGACGCAUAUCUUGGUGAGAUAAGCCUAUCCUGGAAGGUUACUACCAUGCCCAUGAUGGUGUUGGAAAAUCUCAAUGCUGAACAUAAAGCCAAUUUAUGCUCACUUUUAAGCCAAAACAAUGUUAAAAGUAGGGCAUUAUUUCAUAGCUAAAGUAGGUGCUUGGCUUAUAUGUAUGGAGUAACUUUCUUCAAUUCUUGUGCUUUCCCUGCUCAUCCUUUAAUUUCUCUUGUAAAGUUCCAGCAAUUUUAAUCAAUGUGCAUCAUAUUUAGUUCGCAUAUAUACGUAUUAUCUUACAAAGAAAAGCCUUGUAGAACAGCACGUCCUUAAAGUACUUGUAAGGACAGACAUGUUCUUGUAAUGUGUUUUUAGUUCACAGUACUGCGACAAAAGACUGUUAGUGUUAGUUUGUGGUUUUGAUGAAUAUAGUUCUCUUAUGUGUGCUUUAAGUGAAGAAGGCAAAAACUCUAGCAACGAUUCUUUUUCCUCUAAAAAGA